rnacentral:rRNA from 1 species
AUUGAACGCUGGCGGCAGGCCUAACACAUGCAAGUCGAACGAGUGGCGGACGGGUGAGUAAUGUCUGGGAAACUGCCUGAUGGAGGGGGAUCACUACUGGAAACGGUAGCUAAUACCGCAUACCAUCGGAUGUGCCCAGAUGGGAUUAGCUAGUAGGUGGGGUAACGGCUCACCGAGGCGACGAUCCCUAGCUGGUCUGAGAGGAUGACCAGCCACACUGUAACUGAGACACGGUCCAGACGCCUACGGGAGGCAGCAGGGGGGAAUAUGUCACAAUGGGCGCAAGCCUGAUGCAGCCAUGCCGCGUGGAUGUAGAAGGCCGUCGGGUGGUAAAGUACUUUCAGCGGGGCGGCGUUACCCGCAGAAGAAGCACCGGCUAACUCCGUGCCAGCAGCCGCGGUAAUUC